CACUAAAAUGAGGGACAGAGAGAAACUAUUUUCCCUCUGUCCCUACUUUUAGUGC
rnacentral:pre_miRNA from 1 species